CCUUCUCCAUACUUUGUAUUGGGGUAUAGCCAAUUAACAAUAUUGUGAUAGCUUCAGGUGAACAGCAAAGGGGCUCAGACAUAUAUAUACAGAUACCCAUUCUCCCCCAAACUCCCCUCCCAUCCAGGCUGCCACAAAAUACUGAGCAGAGUUCCAGUGUGCUAUCCAGAGUAAUAUGAAUGAAAGCUGGCCAGAAGUCAAGGGAAGACAAAGGGUCUCGCUGGCUUUUUAGCAGCUCCCAUCAUUCUGGACCAUCACAGUGUGGGGGAUGCUGAGAAAUGAUGAAAGGAGAAACAGAGGGACGAGGGGAG
ensembl:lncRNA